AUGCCGCGGUGAAUACGUUCCCGGGCCUUGUACACACCGCCCGUCACACCACGAGAGUUUGCAACACCCGAAGUCGGUGGGGUAACCCUUACGGGAGCCAGCCGCCUAAGGUGGGGCAGAUGAUUGGGGUGAAGUCGUAACAAGGUAGCCGUAUCGGAAGGUGCGGCUGGAUCACCUCCUUUCU
rnacentral:rRNA from 1 species